CCUACGGGAGGCAGCAGUGAGGGAUAUUGGUCAAUGGGGGAAACCCUGAACCAGCAACGCCGCGUGAGGGAAGACGGUUUUCGGAUUGUAAACCUCUGUCCUCUGUGAAGAUGAUGACGGUAGCAGAGGAGGAAGCUCCGGCUAACUACGUGCCAGCCGCCGCGGUAAUACGUAGGGAGCAAGCGUUGUCCGGAUUUACUGGGUGUAAAGGGUGCGUAGACGGUGCGCCAAGUCUGGAGUGAAAUGCCGCAGCUUAACUGCGGAACUGCUUUGGAAACUGGCGAACUAGAGUGCGGGAGGGGUAAGCGGAAUUCCUAGUGUAGCGGUGAAAUGCGUAGAUAUUAGGAGGAACACCGGUGGCGAAGGCGGCUUACUGGACCGUAACUGACGUUGAGGCUCGAAAGCGUGGGGAGCAAACAGGAUUAGAUACCCCGGUAGUC
rnacentral:rRNA from 1 species